ensembl:lncRNA
AUGUUUUGGGAAAUGCUAGGAAGUAUAUAUAUAUAUCGAAAUAUUAUAUACGAAGCAUGUACUUAUAUUUGUGACUUGAACCAUAUUUUAAACAAUUAUUUAUUAAAUAAUAAAAAAAUGGUAGAAGAAGAAAAAAAAUAUAUUAAAGAUAUGUUUAUAGAAAAAGAAAAUAAGUAUAUUGCAGAAAAAAUACAAUUAAGAAAAGAAAUUGGUAUAAAAAAAUUAAACAAAAGUAUAUAUAAAGAAAAAUACAACGAUUUAAAAGAACAGUAUGAACUAGAAAAAAAAAAUAUAAUAUAUUUAACAAACUCUUUAUAUGAAAAAGAAAGUUUAAAAUAUAAAAAUAUUAUUAAAAAAUUUAAACAAGUAUAUAUAAAUUGUAAAAUGUAUAAAGUAAGAGAAAAAAAAUGGGUUAAACUUGUUAAAUUAUUGAUCAAUGAAAUUAAACAUACAUCUGUAAACAACCAAGAACAAAUUAAAGAUAUAUGGAUAGAACUAAUAGCAAUGUCAACAUAUUAUAACAAAACGAGUAUUAUUAAUAAUAAUGUUACUAUACAAUCAAAUAAAUUAAUUAAAGAUAAACAAAAUGGAUACACAUUAAAUAAUACAUCUUCAAUUACAGAUAUAAGUAUAGAUAACAACAUGUUUUCCAAUAUAACCAACGACACUGUAAAUAAUAAAAACGAUUUUAUAUUAACAAAUAAAAAAAAAAAAAAAACAAUAUUAAAAAAAUGUAAUUUAACUGAUGAAGAAAAUAAAAACAAACAGUAUUGUUAUAAUCAAUUUAGAAAACAUAUUAGAAAUAAUAAUAAUACUAAUAAUAAUAAUAAUAAUAAUAAUAAUAAUAAUAAUAAUAAUAGUAAUAAUAAUAAUAGUAAUAAUAAUAAUAAUAAUAAUAAUACUAAUAAUAAUAAUAAUAAUACUAAUAAUAAUAAUAAUAAUAAUAGUAAUAAUAAUAAUAAUAAUAAUAGUAAUAAUAAUAAUAAUAAUAAUAAUAAUAAUAGUAAUAAUAAUAAUAAUAAUAGUAAUAAUAAUAAUAAUAAUAAUAAUAAUAAUAGUAAUAAUAAUAAUAAUACUAAUAAUAGUAAUAAUAAUAAAAUGAAUGGAUUGGAUAAAAAAAAAAAUAUUACAUCAAAUAAUUACGAUAAAGAACAAUGCAAUAAAGACAAAAAUAAUGUAUGUAAUAGUACCCCUAAUAAAAAUCAACAAAAAAAACAAAAAUUUAAAAAUAGUGAUGAAAACAAACACAACUACUUUAAAGAAAGUAAUAAAAAUGAAUUAAACGAUGAUAAAAUAGAUUUAUAUAAAACCGAUUUUAAUACAUGUUUAGAAAAUAUAAAAAACAGUGAUUUUCUAAUUCUAGAUUCUUCUAGUGAUGAAGAAUAUUUAAUGGAAUACAAUGAAAACAUGUAUUUAUGUAAUAAUAUAGAUAAGCUUAAUGAACAAGUAAGUAAAAAACACGAUUCGAAUGAACUAGUUAAAAAUAAAAACAUUGUGAAAGAAACAGUCAAUGAAAAUGGGGAAGAACCUCUUAAUGAAAUUCGGGGAAAUAGUAAGAUAUGUAAUAGCACUAACACGUGUGAAAAUAUCACCAAAUAUGAAGAUACCACCACUUGUGAAAGUACCACACCACGCAAUAACUGGUUUACUUCUUUAACCCAAAUGGCCAAAGAAUCAUGUGUAACCUUUCAAAAUAUGUUAAAAAUAAAAGAAAUUGAACUUGAAAAAAAAACAAAUCUAAUAAACCACUUAAAAAAUGAACUAAUAAAAUUAAAAGAAGAAAACAUGAAACAACAAAAUCAAUAUCAGUGCUUAGAAGAAGAACAGGAAAAUUUAAAAAAUAAAUUGAACUUAUUAAAUUAUACUAUACAAAAAUUAGAAGAACAUAUAUGCGAGUUAAAUAAUGAUAAAAUAUAUUUCCAAAGUAAUAACCUAACUAAAUAUCAAGAACUACAUGUAAUUAUUAAAAAUUAUGAACAUGUAUAUUUUUUAAUUAAAAAUUAUAUUAAAAAAUAUGCAUCAGUUUUAUAUUUAAUGGAUUCGUUACCAUUAAAUGACGAAACAUAUAUUCUAAGUAUAUUAAAUGAACAAAAAAAUAAUAAUAACAACAAAAAAUAA